CAUUUGAUAUCUUAAUUUAAAGAAUUGACUUUUUAAGUCUAAAUAUAGUAGUUCAAUAUACUUCAAAUGA
rnacentral:tRNA from 1 species